rnacentral:lncRNA from 1 species
AAGGGAAGCACCCUGUAGAGGAGGGAGUGGUCCCUGGCUAGGGCUCCACCCCCAUGGACCUAGGUGAGGACAGGCACUUCUGCCUUCCUUCCCAAGGGUUGCAUUUUUCAAGACUACCCUGGCCAGCCACGCUCCUAUCCUGGGCCUAUAGAAACCCGAGACCCUAGCAAGGCAGAGACAGAAGCUGCUGGCCCGCCAGAGGAACACAUAGAUGGAAGAAGACAAGCAGCUGGACAUGGAGAAGACAUUGGGAGCACACUAGGGGAAGAGCACACAGACAAACGCCAGCAUGCUGGGUCUCAUUCCAUCACCUAGGCUGGAGUGCAGUGGCCCCAUCUCGGCUCAUUGCAUCCUCUGCCUCCCAGGUUCAAGUGAUUCCUAUUCCUUUCAAGUGAUUCUCCUGAGGAACUAGAAUUACAGGAGAAGAUAUUGCACAAUUCUACUCCCCUGAUCAAUUUUCGCCACUCCUCAAUCCCAUUACAUAUAUUAUGAGGGAUGUUUUAAUGUUAAGGUCUAGUAUAAUGUCAACAUUUGAAAGUUUAUAAUUAUGUAUGAAUACACUCCUGGAAAAAUCACUGAGAAAACCCAUAAAACAUAAACUACUUGACAUUUUAAAUAAUUUUCCAAGCCAAUCACUUUACAUUUUCCAAAUCAGUGAAUGCAUAAGGAUUAAAAAUCCUGAUUUUUUUUCUUGAACAAUUAGAAGACAUAUACUAAAAUAAAUAAGUACAAGCACAAAUUCAGGAGUAUAGAGCUAAUUUUUUUAGGCUUUUUAUGCAUUGUUGAUUUUCUUGUGUGUGUGUUUCACAGUGAAUUUUUCAAGAUGAAAGAUUUUUACUGAAUAUAAAAAAAAUUUUCCCAAGUUACAAGGAUUUUCCAAAUGAACUUUAAACCAGGAUUUUGUGCUAGUAUGAGGACAACCUCGAGAGUAGUUAUCUGUAAUCCAUCAAUAAGUAAUAGUGUAAAUGUAAACACCAUGAACUCUGGAGACAGCCUGAGAGGGUUUUACUGUUGCUCUACUACUGUUAACUGUGCAAAUAUCAGCAAGUUAGGUGACAUUUCUACACCUUAAUUUUCUCAUCUGCAAAAUGGGGAUUAAAUAUAAGUACCUACCUCAUUGCUUAUUGUGAGAAUUAAAUGAGUGUUCAUGUGUAAAGUGCUUAACAAGGAACUUGAUGUUUACUAGUACUAUUUAUAAAGAAUAUUAAAAAUGAAUUGUGAAGUAGAAAAACAAGUGGAAUUUAAAUUUUUAAGUUUUGGAAAUAUUAAAAUUAUAUUAAUUGUAUAUUUUCAUUAACCAUCUGAACAUGAACUUUUUUCCUACACAAUAUAUAUGCUUCAAAAUAUUUUAUAUUCAAUAGAUUUAAUUAUAGAAUGAUCUUUAAUGUAAUGCUACUAGAAAACACUACAAAAAUACGAUCAUUAUGAGUUUGACUUCUCUUUUUAUUUUACUGAGGUAUAAUUAACAAAUAAAAAUUGUGUAUAUUCAUGGAAUACCACACAAUGUUUUUAUAUACAUACACAUUGUAAAAUGAUGACCAUGAUCAAGCUAAUUAACAUUUACAUCAUUUGUGUGUAUAGAGAGAAAACAUGUAAGGAAAAAGCAAUUUAUUAAAUUGAAAAAUAUUUCAUGAAAUGGUUUGAAACAUAAAUUAAUGCAAACACUAUUAUGACGAGAAAAAAAUAAAAUGACUUCUUUUUACUCUUGUAAUCUUAGUCAAUGUCUGAAACAAAACAAUAAAUUAUACAGGAAGACUAUCACCUUCAAUAUUUAUCAUUUCUUUAUGUUGAGAGCAUUUGGAAUCUUCUAGUUAUUUUGGAAAAAGAAUAAAUCAUUAUCAACUAUAGCUACCUACUAUGCUAUUAAACACUAGAACGUACUCCAUGUUUGUACCCAUUUAACAAUCCCUUUUUAUACUCAUCUUUCUACUAUCCUUCCCCACUUCUGGUAACCACCAUUCUAUUCACUAGCGUCAAGAGAUUUUUUUUUUAAUUCCCAUGUGUGAGUGACCACAAGUAUUACGUAUU